GUCGAUCUCCUGACCUUGUGAUCUGCCUGCCUCAGCCUCCCAAAGUGCUGGGAUUACAGGUGUGAGCCACCGCGCCCGGCCUCUCGAGCUCAUUUUUAAGCCUCCUGGUAUUUUUAAGGAAAUGUAAGAGUGUGAAUCAGGUACUGAUGGUUUUGACUUCAUUAUGAUCAGCAUCUUUGGCUUCCAUCAGAGUAGACACUGAACGUUUUCAUCCAACCGGAUGAUGAGUGCAUUACAUGAAAAAUCAUUUCAAAAGGAGAUCAGGGACUCCAGGAAGCAGAGCGUAACUCCCCACUUCUAAACUGUGGGCUUCACAUAAUGACAUCCUACCAAGAAAUCAGUAUAGCAAAGGAGGAAAAAGAGUAACUUCGCAUUGGAGAAACCUAACAAACACUGUCUCAGCCAGGUGAUCAAGGCCACUGUGAGCAGUGAUCAGUCAAGUCGAAAGUGCAUAUCAUAUGACAGGAUGAGAAUGGCAUUUUACCUCGACAUCUUCCCUCCCAAAACUAAUAAUCCUACUACAUCAGACAAACCUCAGCUGAGAAACAGUUUCCAAAAACACCUGACUAGUACCCCCUAAAACCAUCAAGGUCAUCAAGAACAAUGUAGUCCUGAGAAAUGAUCACAGCCGGGAAGAACCUAAGGACUUGGUGUCCUUUGGUAUCCUGAUAUGGAAUCCUGGAGCAGAAAAGGACAUUAAGUAAAAACCAAGGAAAUAGAAAUAAAGUAUAAACUUAAUAAUAUAUCAAUAUUAAUUCAUUAAUUGUGACAAAUGUAACAUAGUAAUGUAAGACAUUAAAAUGGGGAAAAUUGGGUAUGAUGUGGAGGAGAACUCUGUGUAUUCUAUUUGCAACUCUUCUGUAAAUGUAAACCUAUUUGAAAAUUAAAAAUUUAUUUUUUAAAAAGAAAAUUAAG
rnacentral:lncRNA from 10 species